AACCCACAUGGAUGGACAAAAAAACAAAAUCUGUUCUGAAGCAGCAAGAAAGUAGCAGUGUUGUGUCACUUUCAUCAUUGAAAAAAUUCAACUUCUUUCACCGUCCCACCAAAAUUUAUUCAUCUUUUCAAAAUUCAAAUCCCACACCUAUUCUUCUUUCUUUGUCUCGACAUCUCUUCCACACAUAUUCUUCUUUUAGUUUCCUUCAACUUCUCUCACCAUUGCAGAGGCAUCAAUUUGCUCAGUUUCAUAUUGACGAACAAACAUGGCUGGACAGGUGGUAAUUUUAUCAGUAGGGUUAUCUGUUACUUCUUCAGUCAAGUGGCUUCUUCAGCUUUGCAAGUAGAAAAGCUUCCUCGGAUAGAAAGGUUAACAAAUUGGGGUUUGAUCGAGUAAGUUUUCUGAACUUUAAUUGAUUGUUUCAUCUUUUCUCAAUGUUUUUUUUUCCUUCCUUUUAGUUUGAUUUAGAUAGAAAGAAUUAUUGUCAUUCUUUGAAUUCCUUACUUUAGUGAGAGUUGGUGAGAUACAUAGCUUUGAUUGUAAAAGUGAGCACUCAAAGUGAUUGUGGAAAUGUCUCAAUAUGAAAAUUGAUGGCUUUGUGGUAUUCCUUCUGAUAUUGCUUCUUCCUUUUACUCACAUCAUAUUUUAUUAGUGCAUAUAUCGACUCAUAGUUUGGUGGUUGAUGAAAGUGAUAUGUCAUUUAACAUUCUAAGUUUGAGUUUUUAUUUAUUGUUAAUUAUAAUUUCUACAAGUUUAUAUUUCUUCUGUUUGUGUUUAUA